rnacentral:lncRNA from 1 species
CUCGAUAUUUGAUAUUAGAUCGUAUGUUAAAAGCGUGUCUUUAUAACUCGAUUUAUUAACACACCGAUUCAAACUUGAGUACAUUCGAGCUCGAGCUCAAACGCAACAUUCAUAACUCGAAGACAAAAAAAAUAAAAAAAAUCAAAUAAGUUUGAAAACAACCGUACAUUCCGCUUGAGUCGAUUCCUUUAAACAUCUUAUUAUCCUAAAACAUAUAUGCACGUAAUAGAAAUAAUAUUUGUACACAUUAAUAUUUUUUUUUUCAAUACAUUAUCAUUUAUUUUACAAAUGAUAAUAUAUUAUAGAACAUAGAAUUCCUGAAGUAAUUAGUUCAUCAUGAUGAAUCAAUUUGUAUCGCCACCAAUCGGAAGAUGGUCAAUGCCCAACAACUUGCGGUCCUGGCGACAGCCGAGGCUAGCCUGGCAACCCCUCCUAUAGGGGUUUGCAGCCACCGGCGUCGACUUUGGUACAGGUUUGUGAGUAUAUCCAAUCAUUUUGCCUCUGCCGCCUUCCGCCGGCGAUGUAAGAAACAUCGCCACCAAAAGCACCACCAACGCCAUGCUCACCAACAACUUCCUCGUCGACGUCGCCAUCGU